UUGACAUCUCUGGAAAGUUAAGUCCUCCAUUUAAACCACAGAACAGAGUAAAACAUGGGUAACAGCAGUCCCCGCUUCCCCACACUGUCCCCCUGCCCUGAACUGGUGGGAUCUCUAGGCCCUAGGGUAACCCAUUCUCGCUUGUGUUUAAAUGUCAGUAAGUUACUAACACACAAGACUGCUCUUCAAUCCAGGGUUACA
rnacentral:sRNA from 1 species